UAAAAUAAUUAUAAUACCUAUAUUUAGGUCUUUUUUUCAAAGUUCAAGCAGAAAGUGAAAGGUGCUGCAGUGCUAUGAACGGGGAAUACCAAAUAGUAAUCGAAUCGGAUAAAGAGCAGGCUACUAAAAGACAAUGGAAACUUGGUAGUUUUAAGGAGUUCACAAAUGAGGCGGGACUCAGAGCACUUUUUGCUGAAUUUCUUGGAACCUUCAUGCUCGUACUUUUCGCUACAGGUGGAAUAAACCCCAGGAUCAUAGCGAGAUUAGAUGACAGCGGAACCACGGA